GGUUUUGUUGCUUAGUGGUUAGAGUGUUGGCCAACAGACCAAAAGGUCAUGGGUUCAAUUCCCAGUCAAGGGCA
rnacentral:tRNA from 1 species